rnacentral:lncRNA from 1 species
GCAGGUGAAACAAUUGAGAAGCCAGAUACCAAAGAGAAGAAACCCAAAGCCAAGAAGGCUGAUGCUGGUGGUGAAAAAGGGUCACCUCAAGACUAAAAAGCCCAAGAAGGGGAAGCCCCAUUGCAGUGCAAUCCUGUCCUUGUCAGAGGAAUUGGCAGGUAUUCCUGACCUGCCGUGUAUUCCAGAAAGGCCACGUAUAAGAGGAAGUACUCAGCCGCUAAAUCCAAGGUUGAAAAGAAAAAGAAGGAGAAGGUUUUUGCAACUGUUACAAAACCAGUUGGUGGUGACAAGAACGGUGGUACCCGGGUGGUUAAACUUCGCAAAAUGCCUAGAUAUUAUCCUACUGAAGAUGUGCCUGGAAAGCUGCUGAGCCAUGGCAACAAACCCUUCAGUCAGCACGUGAGAAAACUGCGAGCCAGCAUUACCCCGGGGACCAUUCUGAUCCUCCUCACUGGAGGCCACAGGGGCAAGAGGGUGGUUUUCCUGAAGCAGCUGGCUAGUGGCUUAUUACUUGUGACUGGACCUCUGGCCCUCAAUCGAGUUCCUCUAUGAAGAAAAUACCAGAAAUUUGUCAUUGCGACUUCAACCAAAAUUGAUAUCAGCAAUGUAAAAAUCCCAGAACAUCUUAGUGAUGCUUACUUCAAGAAGAAGCUGUGGAAGUUCAGACCAGGAAGGUGAGAUCUUCAACACAGAAAAAGAGAAAUACAAGAUUACAGAGCAGUGCAAGAUUGAUCAGAAAGCUGUGGACUCACACAUUUUACGAAAAACCAAAGCUAUUCCUCAGCAUCAGGUCUACCUGCCAUCUGUGUUUGCCCGGACAAAUGGAAUUUAUCCUCACAAAUUGGCAUUCUAA